rnacentral:tRNA from 1 species
GCCGCGGUGGCGGAACUGGCAGACGCGCUGGACUUAGGAUCCAGUUCUUAAACAGAGUGCGAGUUCGACUCUCGCCCGCGGCA